rnacentral:snoRNA from 1 species
UGCACGUAAAUACCUAGUGCACAAGUUAAGUCUGCUUGACUAUUUCGUAUAUAUAGACGAAAAAUUGAAAAU